rnacentral:rRNA from 1 species
UACGUAGGCAGCGAGCGUUGUUCGGAAUUACUGGGCGUAAAGAGUGUGUAGGCGGUGCUCUAAGUUCGGUGUGAAAUCUCCUGGCUUAACUGGGAGGGUGCGCCGGAAACUGGGGUGCUCGAGCGUGGGAGAGGAAAGCGGAAUUCCUGGUGUAGCGGUGAAAUGCGUAGAUGUCAGGAGGAACACCUGUGGUGUAGACAGCUUUCUGGACCAUUGCUGACGCUGAGACACGAAAGCGUGGGUAGCAAACAGG